ensembl:misc_RNA Metazoa_SRP Metazoan signal recognition particle RNA
GCCGGGCUUGGUGGUGCAUGCCUGUAGUCCCAGCUACUUGGGAGGCUGAGAUGGGAGGAUGGCUUGAGUCCAGGAGGCAGAGGUUUCAGUGAGCUGAGAUCAUGCCACUGCACUCCAACCUGGGCUACAGAGCUAGACCCUGUCUCAA